rnacentral:snRNA from 1 species
GGACGUAAGGGCUAUCUGGCUGUGACACCGUCACCCCAGUAACCGUUGGGGUUGAUGUGUCUGAUCUAGUUGUCUAGACAUGGGUCCCUUUCCUCCCUCACCACUCCACAUACUUCCCUCCCAACACUGAGAUAUCCAUUGUGCAAGGCAGGCACAGUCAGAGGCUACUUCUCUCCAUUGUCAAUUGAAACUUUAUGGUGCAAAUUGAGCAUGCGUAGAGGCCUUCCUGUCCAUCAUUUUAAUCUCUAUGACCAUAAACGGAGCCUGCUUAGGAAUGGGCUAACCCCUAUAUGAAUAGCCACCUUGAAUGAAACCACAUUCUAUCUUUGUUCAGGGAGAGCGUUGCUUUGAAAAUGACACCCUUGCUCUCUUCU